rnacentral:rRNA from 1 species
UACGGAGGGUGCGAGCGUUAUCCGGAAUUACUGGGCGUAAAGCGCACGCAGGCGGUCUUUUAAGUUUGACGUGAAAGCUCCCGGCUUAACUGGGAGAGGUCGUUGAAGACUGGAAGACUUGAGGCAAUGAGAGGGGUGUAGAAUUCCCGGUGUAGUGGUGGAAUGCGUAGAUAUCGGGGGGAAUACCAGUGGCGAAAGCGGCACCCUAGCGUUAGCCUGACGCUCAUGUGCGAAAGCGUGGGGAGCGAACGGG